rnacentral:rRNA from 1 species
GUCCUACGGGGGGCUGCAGUGGGGAAUAUUGGACAAUGGGGGCAACCCUGAUCCAGCCAUGCCGCGUGAGUGAUGAAGGCCUUCGGGUUGUAAAGCUCUUUUGGCGGGGACGAUGAUGACGGUACCCGCAGAAUAAGCCCCGGCUAACUUCGUGCCAGCAGCCGCGGUAAGACGAAGGGGGCUAGCGUUGUUCGGAAUUACUGGGCGUAAAGCGCGUGUAGGCGGUUGCCAAAGUCGGGUGUGAAAGCCUUGAGCUCAACUCAAGAAUAGCACUCGAUACUUGGUGGCUAGAGGACCGGAGAGGAUAGUGGAAUUCCCAGUGUAGUGGUGAAAUACGUAGAGAUUGGGAAGAACACCAGUGGCGAAGGCGGCUAUCUGGACGGUUACUGACGCUAAGACGCGAAAGCGUGGGGAGCAAACAGGAUUAGAUACCCGAGUAGUCUCG